AUGUAGCUGAGGUUUUCAAAACUACCUAGCCUAAGAAUUAAACACAUUUUUAAAUUGCAGAUGUUAUCUGCAUAUAUUUACAGUACAAAGUAUAAUUUUCGAAAUAUACUAAUUUCUAACAUACUACUAGUUUUCCUACUCUGGGUACUGGUAUUUUACAUACAUAUAUACAUGUUCAGUUUGUGAAAAUUCAUUUGCUGUAUAUUUGUGAUCUGUUCAUUUUUCUAUAUGUAUAUUUCAAUAUGAAAAUUUCUUUUAAAACUUGUAACUUGUAAACAAGAAAAAAACAAACAACCCCAUCAAAAAGUGGGCAAAGGAUAUGAACAGACACUUCUCAAAAGAAGACAUUUAUGCAGCCAAAAGACACA
rnacentral:lncRNA from 1 species